UACAGAGGGGGCAAGCGUUGUUCGGAAUCACUGGGCGUAAAGCGCACGUAGGCGGCUCUUUAAGUCAGGGGUGAAAUCCCGGAGCUCAACUCCGGAACUGCCUUUGAUACUGGGGAUCUUGAGUUCGAGAGAGGUGAGUGGAACUGCGAGUGUGGAGGUGAAAUUCGUAGAUAUUCGCAAGAACACCAGUGGCGAAGGCGGCUCACUGGCUCGAUACUGACGCUGAGGUGCGAAAGCGUGGGGAGCAAACAGG
rnacentral:rRNA from 1 species